CCUACGGGAGGCAGCAGUGAGGAAUAUUGGUCAAUGGGCGAGAGCCUGAACCCGCCAAGUCGCGUGAAGGAUGACGGCCCUACGGGUUGUAAACUUCUUUUGUCAGGGAGCAAUUGGGUCCACGCGUGGGCUUAGCGAGAGUACCUGAAGAAAAAGCAUCCGCUAACUCCGUGCCAGCAGCCGCGGUAAUACGUAUGAAGCGAGCGUUAUCCGGAUUUAUUGGGUUUAAAGGGUGCGUAGGCGGAAUAUCAAGUCAGCGGGAAAAAUUCGGGCCGCAACCCCGCCGUGCCGUUGAAACUGAUGUUCUUGAGUGGGCGAGAAGUAUGAGGAAUGCGUGGUGUAGCGGUGAAAUGCAUAGAUAUCACGCAGAACUCCGAUUGCGAAGGCAGCAUACCGGCGCCCAACUGACGCUGAAGAACGAAAGCGUGGGUAUCGAACAGGAUUAGAUACCCCAGUAGUC
rnacentral:rRNA from 1 species